rnacentral:rRNA from 1 species
UGGGGAAUAUUGCACAAUGGGCGCAAGCCUGAUGCAGCCAUGCCGCGUGUGUGAAGAAGGCCUUCGGGUUGUAAAGCACUUUCAGCGAGGAGGAAGGCGGUGAACUUAAUACGUUCAUCAAUUGACGUUACUCGCAGAAGAAGCACCGGCUAACUCCGUGCCAGCAGCCGCGGUAAUACGGAGGGUGCAAGCGUUAAUCGGAAUUACUGGGCGUAAAGCGCACGCAGGCGGUUUGUUAAGUCAGAUGUGAAAUCCCCGGGCUCAACCUGGGAACUGCAUUUGAAACUGGCAAGCUAGAGUCUCGUAGAGGGGGGUAGAAUUCCAGGUGUAGCGGUGAAAUGCGUAGAGAUCUGGAGAAAUACCGGUGGCGAAGGCGGCCCCCCUGGACGAAGACUGACGCUCAGGCUGCGAAAGCGUGGGGCAGCAAACAGGAUUAGAUACCCUGGUAGUCCAGCGCUGUAAACGAUGUCGAUUUGGAGGUUGUGCCCUUGAGGCGUGGCUUCCGGAGCUAACGCGUUAAAUCGACCGCCU